rnacentral:lncRNA from 1 species
UCCAAGUCAUCCAAAGCACAAACGAUCAUGCUGGACGCAGUUGUUCGUUUCAAUCCCUCUUUUGCCUGGACCGCCCUUUCGGGUUUCAGUCCACCAGGAUACCCUUUUUUGCCCAAGUCGCCCUUGCGGGUUUUCAACUUGCCGGGUGUACAUUUCUUUUCUUUUAUUAUCCCUAACUUUUGCCCGAACCUUUCUCUUUUUCUUGGUUCGCCGGGAUGCCCAUUUUUUGCCUGGACUCU